GGUCUUGACAUACCGAUGACAGGUCUAGAGAUAGUAUUUUCCCUUUUAGGGCAUCGGAUACAGGUGGUGCAUGGUUGUCGUCAGCUCGUGUCGUGAGAUGUUGGGUUAAGUCCCGCAACGAGCGCAACCCCUAUUGUUAGUUGCCAUCAUUAAGUUGGGCACUCUAGCGAGACUGCCAGUAAUAAACUGGAGGAAGGUGGGGAUGACGUCAAAUCAUCAUGCCCCUUAUGACCUGGGCUACACACGUGCUACAAUGGGAAGUACAACGAGUUGCGAGGCGGUGACGCCAAGCUAAUCUCUUAAAGCUUCUCUCAGUUCGGAUUGUAGGCUGCAACUCGCCUACAUGAAGUCGGAAUCGCUAGUAAUCGCGGAUCAGCACGCCGCGGUGAAUACGUUCCCGGGCCUUGUACACACCGCCCGUCACACCACGAGAGUUUGUAACACCCGAAGUCGGUGAGGUAACCGUAAGGAGCCAACCGCCUAAGGUGGGAUAGAUGAUUGGGGUGAAGUCGUAACAAGGUAGGCGUAGAUGA
rnacentral:rRNA from 1 species